rnacentral:rRNA from 1 species
UACGAGUACCCCAAGCGUUAUCCGGAAUCAUUGGGCGUAAAGGGUGUGUAGGUGGUCUGGUUAGUCUUCUGUUAAAAUCUUGGGCUUAACCCAAGUCUUGCAGAGGAAACGGCCAGACUCGAGGAUGCGAGAGGUGAAUGGAACUCAUGGAGUAGGGGUAAUAUCCGUUGAUAUCAUGGGGAACACCAAAAGCGAAGGCAAUUCACUGGCGCAUUCCUGACACUGAAACACUGAAAGCGUGGGUAGCGAAUGGG